UUUUGUUUUGCUGUGAAUGAAUCAUUUGUUAAGUAUCUCUUCUCUUACCCAAAGUGAAGAUUGAGAAUCCAAUUUGGAUUCCUUGACAAAUCUUUUUUUCACAUCGAUGAAUCUCUAAAAGACUGUAACGAUUUGGUAUGAAUUGUUCAUGCAAUUCCCUUUUUUUUUAUCUCUUUUUCUUUUGCUUGACUUCACGGCUAACAAACGCACGGACCCAAAAAAAUAUGCUCUUUUCUUUGAGUGUUCAUCAUCGUGUGAGUGAUGCUGUCAUGUGACCAAUGAUGACGACUCUUACUUGAAUUAAGAACACAACAGUGUCCUUUCAUACAGCCUACAUAAUGUCUUGUAAGUGUCUCCAUAAUAAGUAUUGCAGAGUAUUGCAGUGUCCUCUGCCCUGAUCAUUACCAAUAAGAUGUGUUUGUGUUGUGUUUCUUUGGUAAUAUCUCUAUCAUCUCUUGUUUUUGUGUUGUGGCAACAUGUUGUGUUGUCUUGUCUUGUCUUAUGUAAACAAACCCUCUGAGCUCGCUUUCUUAUUUUGUGUUCAUCAGAGCAUAUAUACUUGAUCCAAUGCAGACUAUAUGUAUUAGUUUCUAACACCACAAGAUGUAUUUGAAGAUGAAUGGUUCAAGAAAGAUUACAAGCCUCCAGUGUUCGAGGAUAAGGAUGAUUCAAACAUGGAGGAUAUUGAUGCUGUUUUCAAGGACUCCGAGGAACAUCAUGUUACUGAGAAGAAAGAAGAGCAACCAGCGGCAAUCAUUGCAUUUGAGAUCAUCUCAGUGUCAAGGGGGCUUAACCUAGAGAAUCUCUUGGAUCCAGAACAGGUUUGUGUUCCGAUAUAAAGAACCGGCACUCUUUGUAUUUGUAAUCUUCUGUUAGUGAAAUGUUUUCUUAAAAACAAGAAACAAGAGUUUAAGAGGGAAACAAGGAUAACACUGAGAGGAGGCGCGAAUGAGAUCAUCGAGAAGAUAGAAAGAAGCUGCAAAGCCAAAGCCUCUCGGUUUUGAUGUGCAAAAGAACAACUACAAGAUGAGGCGCGGCUUGAGAAUGUCAAGGCUGGGAGAAAAGGAAAUCUCAAUGUGGCGACAGAGGUAUGUUAUAUGAGACUGGACAUUCAAGAAAGUGU